UUAAAGCACUCUUUGGUAUCCAGGCAGCGUAAAGCAAAUGGCCAUGACGUCAGGGACGUGUGGAAAUUUUUUCCAGAGCACGGUCAUAGGAGGUGCUGUUGUAACAAACCAAACACGAAUGCUGUUGUCUGCAGCGUAAUGCCUUUGAGUUUUGUAACAUCAAAAGGCAAACGCUUGGAGGUAGCUUAUUUAAUCAGGUUCCCAGUCAGGAUGCUCUAAACGCCCAAGACACCUUAAAGGUCAAAACUACUCCAAGCCUGCAGCUCGACUCAGCAAAUGGAAAUCAGUCCUAGGCGGACAGGUAUGGGAACUCUGGGAGAAGGACCUGGUUCAGCCUCCGCGUUUGAAGCACUGCGCAGUUGCCUGGUGCCUCAGGAGCAGAAAAUACCUCUCCAUGCGCACCCACAACCCCAUUCUGCUCACGUAAAGAUACGGCAGAAGCCUGCUCUAGUCCGCCUGCCAGAGCUGCCGGCUCUGGAUGUGGCACCUCCAGCCGAUCCAUUACAAUAGGAGCUGAAUUCAACACCAGCUGUGGCUGGCAGCAACUGGAAGGCUGUUAUUUGUGUAACGAAAUUAAAAACCUCUUUAAACUAAA